GCCGGGUGUGGUGGCUCACGCCUGUAAUCCCAGAACUUUGGGAGGCUGAGGCGGGUGGAUCACCUGAGGCCGGGAGUUCGAGACUAGCCUGACCAACAUGGAGAAACCCCGUCUCUA
rnacentral:SRP_RNA from 1 species